rnacentral:lncRNA from 1 species
GUAUGAAUGUGACAGUUAUUGGGUCAGACGGUGUAUGAAUGUGACAGUUAUUGGGUCAGACAGUGUAUGAAUGUGACAGUUAUUGGGUCAGACGGUGUAUGAAUGUGACAGUUAUUGGGUCAGACGGUGUAUGAAUGUGACAGUUAUUGGGUCAGACGGUGUGUGAAUGUGACAGUUAUUGGGUCAGACAGUGUAUGAAUGUGACAGUUAUUGGGUCAGACAGUGAUUGAAUGUGACAGUUAUUGGGUCAGACGGUGUAUGAAUGUGACAGUUAUUGGGUCAGACAGUGAAUGAAUGUGACAGUUAUUGGGUCAGACAGUGUAUGAAUGUGACAGUUAUUGGGUCAGACAGUGAAUGAAUGUGACAGUUAUUGGGUCAGACAGUGUAUGAAUG